AAAGGCGCGAGCUCAGAGACCCGCCGCCCCUCCGCCAAAGGGGAUCCCCUCCCGCGCCUGCCUGCGCGCAAUCCCCGCCCAGCCCGCGGGCGCAAAGCGAAAGAGAAAGCGGAGCUCCGCCGCGCCUCCCCGCCUCCGCCGCCGCCGCUGCUCCUGCGUGCACCGCCGGGCCAUGUUGCGCUGCGCUCCGCCCGGAGGAGCCGCUGCGCCCCAUCCAGACGCCUUUUGCGCAGCCGGCUGUGGGCUGCCCGGCCGCCGGCUGCUCCUGCUGCUCUUGCUGGGGCUGUUCCUGGACGGGGACGCCGCCUCCCCCGCUGCCGCUGCCUCGGACCUCGGCAUGGGUAAAUGUGGUGUCCCCAAACCGGUGGCCAACGCACGCAUUGUCUAUGAGAACAGCCACGGCAACAAAUUGCGAUACGCCUGCCUAGAGAACUUCAAAAGGAAAGCCGGCACGUCCAGCCUCAUUGUUUGUGAACAAGACGCAAUAACCAGGAAGUAUAGAUGGAGUCCACCCCAACUGGUUUGUAUCUACCUGGCUGUGGAGGACACGACUGAAAGCCACACCACCCGAGAAACUGCCCGACCUACACAGAUCCAGUGUACAAAUCCAGGGAGAGUCCCUGCACGUCUGUAUGGAAGUCAGACCACCUCACCAGUAGUGGAGACGUCAAGUUUUGCACCCCCUCCGCGUGGGACAGCGAAGCCGUCCUCCGAUAGCCUUGGGUCAACGGUGACAGCCACCUCAGGGGGUGGAUGGAUGACUACGGGCACAGUUUCCAAAAGUGUAACCCCCUCCCCGACCAGGACGCCAUUUUCCCCAGACGAAAAUAUCAACACACAGUGGACACCGCAACAAACUACGUCUGCACCAUCGGAGGGCCCGCUUGGAAAUACCACAGAUCCCACUGAUACGGGCGUUUGGCAGAGCAUUACAGGUUCUCAUUACUUCAAAAUUGGAAUUCCUUUUUUUGCGGUCAUCCUAUCAGCAGGAUUCGUGUACUACUGCUAUUGUGCAAGAUCCCGCGCUCCUUGGAGGCAGGCCAGGGUCCCUUCUGUGGAAGUGAUCCCCAUGGAUCCCUUGGGAUCUGAAGGAGGAAGAUCAGCAUCGGCUGGCGAGGCUCCAGAUCCCGGUCCGGCGAAUGAAGAAGAUCCAAUGCUAAUGGGAUUACCUCCACCGGUGGAGUGAUCCUGCUGGGCAUCAAAGCAUCGUCUAGCUUUGGGAAAAGAGGUCCUAAGCACGAUGUCCAGAGUCAGGGUGGACACGGUGUCUGUCCGUUCCCCUCUUGCAAAACCUUGAAAAGGAGGCUGUAAAUCACUUUGGGGCACUUUCAGUUGUCCUCGGCAGGUGUACCUGCGUGAGCAGGAGCUGAGCACGAGGAGAGAGGAAGAGGAAGAGCAAGCUGGAGUUGGAAAAGACGAAGAAGUGAUGCCCUGGUGAGAUCAAUAGAAGCAUGCAUGGAGAACAGGUGAUGAAGAAGAGAUCGAGGCUAGCAGAAGCUUCAGCUGCAUACAAGUGGGUGUCAGGAGAAUCGCCAGUCCGUGUGUCCAGAACCUUCUCUUGCCUGGGUCUUUUUCAUGGUUCGAGUAACCCUCUUUUGGUUCUCAAGAAGCCAACAGUGUCCAUCAUCUGAAGAUGGGCUUUCCUGGAGGUCUGAAGCCCCCUGCCCGGCCUGUUAUGUCGUGACGAAGCGGGCUGGCUUUCUUAAGCGGCAGAUUUAAAACAUUGCAGAGUCACAUAGUCGGAGAGGGAGAAGCAAGCAACCUCUUAACACCAACCCGGAAGGAGAGAUUCAAUCCGUGGGGACCUUUUCUCGCCUGUCGAUCAAGGAGACAUAACUUUAAAUGGGUCACAUCCGGGAAGAUACCCUCCAAAGCAUUUGAAAGCAGGAAAAGAAGCAACGGAUGGAAACUCAUCAAGGAGAGGAGAAACCCGGAAUGAAGGAGAAAUUUCCUGACCAUGGAGAACAAUUAA